rnacentral:misc_RNA from 1 species
GAGUUAUUCAAAACAAGUCUACACUUGGUGUGGCUUGUUUUUGGAUGUGGGAGGUUUUUUGCUGGCCCUUUUUAAAUAAAAAGUCAGCUCUCCUGAAAUCUAUUAGUGGUAUCAAGCUUUUUGAUACAAGGGUGUGAUAAUUCUUGUCUAUGCCCUUUUUCUUCAUAAUAGCUUUGCACAUACUGCUUUUUUAGCUAGCCAGCUUUGAUGACAG